rnacentral:ncRNA from 1 species
GUGUUGUAUGGAAGGAGAGAAGAUUAGUACUCCCCUUGACAAAGAAAUAACUAUCAAGAGUAGGAAGAAGGAUUCAGGCAAAACUAUUCCCAUGAUGGGCAUGGGAAUCCCCUACCUAU